GAUGAAGAACGCAGCGAAAUGCGAUAAGUAAUGUGAAUUGCAGAAUUCAGUGAAUCAUCGAAUCUUUGAACGCACAUUGCGCCCCCUGGUAUUCCGGGGGGCAUGCCUGUCCGAGCGUCAUUACAACCCUCAAGCUCAGCUUGGUAUUGGGCCCCGCCGACCCGGCGGGCCCUAAAGUCAGUGGCGGUGCCGUCCGGCUCCGAGCGUAGUAAUUCUUCUCGCUCUGGAGGUCCGGUCGUGUGCUCGCCAGCAACCCCCAAUUUUUUUCAGGUUGACCUCGGAUCAGGUAGGGAUACCCGCUGAACUUAAGCAUAUCAAUAAGCGGAGGA
rnacentral:misc_RNA from 1 species